rnacentral:lncRNA from 1 species
GGGUCAGUGGGGUUAGUGGGGCCAUCAAUAGGAUCUAUGGGGUCAAUGGGGUCAAUAGGUCCAUCAAUGGGGUCAAUGGGGUCAAUGGGGCCAACAAUGGGGUCAGUGGAGCCAACAUGGGGUCAGUGGGGUCAAUGGGGUGAGUGGGGCCAUUAAUGGGGUCAGUGGGGUCAAUGGGGUCAGUAGGGCCAUCAAUGGGGUCAAUGGGGUCAAUGGGGCCAACAAUGGGGUCAGUGGAGCCAACAUGGGAUCAGUGGGGUCAAUGGGGUCAGUAGGGCCAUCAAUAGGGUCAGUGGGGUCAAUGGGGCCAUCAGUGGGUCCAUCAAUGGGUUCAAUGGGGUUAGUGGGGUCAAUAGGGCCAUCAAUGGCGUCACUGGGGUCAAUGGGG